rnacentral:rRNA from 1 species
GACGAACGCUGGCGGCGUGCUUAACACAUGCAAGUCGAACGGAAAGGCCCUGCUUUUGUGGGGUGCUCGAGUGGCGAACGGGUGAGUAACACGUGAGUAACCUGCCCUUGACUUUGGGAUAACUUCAGGAAACUGGGGCUAAUACCGGAUAGGAGCUCCUGCUUCAUGGUGGGGGUUGGAAAGUUUCGGCGGUUGGGGAUGGACUCGCGGCUUAUCAGCUUGUUGGUGGGGUAGUGGCUUACCAAGGCUUUGACGGGUAGCCGGCCUGAGAGGGUGACCGGCCACAUUGGGACUGAGAUACGGCCCAGCCUCCUACGGGAGGCAGCAGUGGGGAAUAUUGCACAAUGGGCGGAAGCCUGAUGCAGCAACGCCGCGUGCGGGAUGACGGCCUUCGGGUUGUAAACCGCUUUCGCCUGUGACGAAGCGUGAGUGACGGUAAUGGGUAAAGAAGCACCGGCUAACUACGUG